GGCGAACCGGUGAGUAAUACAUAUCGAACGUGUCAAGUAGUGGGGGAUAGCCCGGCGAAAGCCGGAUUAAUACCGCAUACGACCUACGGGUGAAAGCGGGGGAUCGCAAGACCUCGCGCAAUCGGAGCGGCCGAUGUCAGAUUAGCUAGUUGGUGGGGUAAAGGCCUACCAAGGCAACGAUCUGUAGCUGGUCUGAGAGACCACCAGCCACACUGGGACUGAGACACGGCCCAGAUCCUACGGGAGGCAGCAGUGGGGAAUUUUGGACAAUGGGCGCAAGCCUGAUCCAGCCAUGCCGCGUGCGGGAAGAAGCCCUUCGGGUUGUAAACCGCUUUUGUCAGGGAAGAAACGGUCCGGGCUAAUACCUCGGACUAAUGACGGUACCUGAAGAAUAAGCACCGGCUAACUUAGUGCCAGCAGCCGCGGUAAUACGUAGGGUGCAAGCCGUUAAUCGGAAUUACUGGGCGUAAAGCGUGCGCAGGCGGCUUUGCAAGACAGAUGUGAAAUCCCCGGGCUCAACCUGGGAACUGCAUUUGUGACUGCAUCGCUAGAGUGGCCGCAGAGGGGGAUGGAAUUCCGCGUGUAGCAGUGAAAUGCGUAGAUAUGCGGAGGAACACCGAUGGCGAAGGCAAUCCC
rnacentral:rRNA from 1 species